rnacentral:rRNA from 1 species
GCGAUCAGGUGAGUACGGGUGGGUUACCCUACCGACUGGACGGGAUAACUUGGGUAACCUGGAGCUAAUACCGGUUACAAUAUAGACCUCCUGGGUUCGAUAGUGAAGGAUCUUUUGGCUGUCACUUAUAGAUGGAUCCGCGGUGCAUUAGCUAGUUGGUAAGGUAACGGCUCACCAAGGCAACGAUGCGUAGCCGACCUGAGAGGGUGAUCGGCCACACUGGGACUGAGACACGGUCCAAACUCCUACGGGAGGCAGCCGUAGGGAAUUUUUGGCAAUGGGCGAAAGUCUGACUGAGCAACGCCGCGUGAGUGAAGAAGGUUUUCGGAUCGUAAAACUCUGUUAUUUGGGAAGAACAAACAUGUAAGUAACUAUUCACGUCUUGACGGUAUCUAAUCAGAAAGCCACGGCUAACUACGUGCCAGCAGCCGCGGUAAUACGUAGGUGGCCAGCGUUUUCCGGAAUUAUUGGGCGUAAAGGGGGCGUAGGCGGUUUUUUAAGUUUGAUGUGAAAGUCCCCCGGCUCAACCGUGGAGGGUCAAUGGAAACUGGGAGACUUGAGUGCAGAAGAGGAAAGUGGAAUUUCAUGUGUAGCGGUGAAAUGGGGAGAAAUAUGGAGGAACACCCGUGGGGAAGGCGGCUUUCUGGUCUGUAACUGACCAUGAAGGUCGAAAGCGUGGGGAACCAACCGGAUUAGAUUCCCUGGUAGUUCCCCCCGUAAACGAUGAGUGCUAAGUGUUAGGGGGUUUCCGCCCCUCAGUGCUGCAGCUAACGCAUAAGCACUCC